rnacentral:rRNA from 1 species
AUACGGAGGAUUCGAGCGUUAUCCGGAUUUAUUGGGUUUAAAGGGAGCGUAGGCGGACUAUUAAGUCAGCUGUGAAAGUUUGCGGCUCAACCGUAAAAUUGCAGUUGAUACUGGUCGUCUUGAGUGCAGUAGAGGUAGGCGGAAUUCGUGGUGUAGCGGUGAAAUGCUUAGAUAUCACGAAGAACUCCGAUUGCGAAGGCAGCUUACUGGACUGUAACUGACGCUGAUGCUCGAAAGUGUGGGUAUCAAACAGGAUUAGAUACCCUGGUAGUCCACACAGUAAACGAUGAAUACUCGCUGUUUGCGGUAUACAGCAAGCGGCCAAGCGAAAGCAUUAAGUAUUCCACCUGGGGAGUACGCCGGCAACGGUGAAACUCAAAGGAAUUGGCGGGG